UUGGGUUAAGUCCGCAACGAGCGCAACCCUUGCCUUUAGUUGCCAGCAGUUCGGCUGGGCACUCUAAAGGGACUGCCGGUGUUAAACCGGAGGAAGGUGGGGAUGACGUCAAGUCCUCAUGGCCUUUAUGACCAGGGCUACACACGUACUACAAUGGCCGAUACAAAGGGUUGCCAAGCCGCGAGGUGGAGCUAAUCCCAUAAAACCGAUCGUAGUCCGGAUCGCAGUCUGCAACUCGACUGCGUGAAGUCGGAAUCGCUAGUAAUCGUGAAUCAGAAUGUCACGGUGAAUACGUUCCCGGGCCUU
rnacentral:rRNA from 1 species